UGUAAGAAGAAAACCCUAAGCACUAUGCGGUUCCAUUUUUCUCCCUUCUCUUUCACUGUCUUGCGCCGCCCAACCUUUUCUUUUUCUCAAGAUCACUGUGUCGCACAACUCGUCUCUCUGCUCUCAAUCUCUCGCUCAAUUCUUCUAUGUUCUCCUUAAUCAUCUUUCCGCUCUUACUCUCUUGCUCAAGAUCUCUCAGUUUCUUUCCAAUUUUUCUGUUGGUAUCUUUGGGUUUUCAGCCACUCUAAGCAGAUUGCAAAACCCACAAAUCAGCAUCAACGAGAGCACAACCCCUACCAAACACUAGCUUCAACUCGACCACUCAGACCCCGAUAAACACCAGUAUCCAUAACCAUUUCACAACCAUCUGCAAAAUCACAAAAAAGACCCGAGACCCGAUUCGAUCGGAGACCUUAGCUUCACGAGCGGCAGUGGAACCCAUGAAAUAUGGUGUGGGUGAUCGAUCCGACUGCAGACAGAGGAGAUGAGAUGAAGGACAUGAUGUUGGAGAAUCUUUCUUGCUCUGGUUCAGCGGCAUCACCGGAAUCGAGUUUUUCCUAUGUCAACUGCAAACUGAGGUGCGUUUCUUCAUCACUUUUUAGAAUUUGAGGUCGUUUUCUUUGAAAUCUAGAUUAUAAUACACCAGAAUGGAUUCGAUCUCUUUUCUGUAUUUGGGUUCAUUUUAUUUAAAAGUUCAAGUCUGAAAACAUGAAUCUGAUACAGAUUUAAUUUGUUUUCUAUAUUUGGAUCGUUUUCCUAAUUGAGUAUUUGGAUUCUAGUAUGGGUUUUAUGGUUCUCAUUAUUUUUGGUCAUUUCUUUCUCUCUCCUAGUCUUGGAUGCUAGUAAAAAUUAUUCCUUAGUGUUGCAAUUUUCUAUGAAUUGCUUGAUUUUCAUUUCUAGGAAUUUUAAGGAGUCAAUUUCUUGUUCUGUCUUCAAUUCCUUGUCUUAUGGGUUUUUAUGUUUUUCUUUUAUGUUGUUCAUUUUCGUAUUUAUUUUUGACUGGGUGAGAAGCUUGGUUCUAGCCCUGGCUUUUGGCUAGUUCUUGUGUCUUGAUGGCCACCCAGUUCUUGUGUCUUGCUGUCUGGGCUUUUGGCUCUGUUUGUAUUCUAUAUAUAACUUGUUGGAGAAUCCAUACAACUGGUUCUUUGUCUACUUGAGUUCUCUAAAUUUCGCAAUCAAUGGAAAGGUCACUGAAUGUGUCAUCCCUUAGUUCAAAAAGAUAGAAAGUUUCUUGAAAGAGUGGAAUAUUGGGAUCUCGGACAAGAGGCAACUAUUUCUUACCAUCUCAAAUGUUUUAAAAGAACACAAAAGGUAUGUUAUGCUAUGUGGAAAUUGUGAACUAUAAUAUUUUUUUGUAUGUGUACGCCCUGUUCAAAUGGUUUGAGGAAUAAUUGAUUAAUUUUUGUGUUGUAUUUUCAGCUUGGCAAAGGAGUCUUUCAAAUUCCUGAGCAAGAGUACUUAGCUACUUUUGCUGUUGAAGAUGCAUAUAUAUUGAGUGAAGCCAAUGAGGAAACUGUGCGCACAAUUGUGGAAUUUGUGAAGGCCCCUGACUUGUUUCAGAAGAAGCUCUAAUAGCAUUGUUGAAAGUAAAAGUUGCAGCUUCUCAUAUUGAUGUGAUUAGUGCGGGCUCAUACCACAAAGGCAAUCUUAGGCCCAUCAAGCAAAGUCAAGCUUCCAAGUGACAAGUUCUAUAUAGAUCAAUUUGUUUAUUUCCCUAUGCUUAUAUGUUUUUAAUAUCGUUUGCCCAGAUAGUUGACAUGAACAUUUUUUUAGUACUUAAAUUUAUAUAUACAAUAAUUUUAUUUUAGUGGAUGUGAGAUUUCA